rnacentral:rRNA from 1 species
CAGUCGCCGCGGUAAUACGAAGGGUGCAAGCGUUAAUCGGAAUUACUGGGCGUAAAGCGUGCGUAGGCGGUUUGUUAAGUCUGCUGUGAAAUCCCCGGGCUCAACCUGGGAAUGGCAGUGGAUACUGGCAAGCUAGAGUGUGUCAGAGGAUGGUGGAAUUCCCGGUGUAGCGGUGAAAUGCGUAGAGAUUGGGAGGAACAUCAGUGGCGAAGGCGGCCAUCUGGGACAACACUGACGCUGAGGCACGAAAGCGUGGGGAGCAAACAGGAUUAGAUACCCCAGUAGUCCCUGUCUCUUAUAC